GAACUGCUGAGGAGUCCCACAACAGGACGAAACGGCUGUCCAGUGC
rnacentral:hammerhead_ribozyme from 1 species